rnacentral:rRNA from 1 species
UAGUCAUAUGCUUGUCUCAAAGAUUAAGCCAUGCAUGUCUAAGUAUAAAUGGAUUAUACAGUGAAACUGCGAAUGGCUCAUUAAAUCAGUUAUAGUUUAUUUGAUAAUAUCUUUUACUUGGAUAACCGUAAUAAUUUUAGAGCUAAUACAUGCGUAAAAGGGUGACUUUACAGAAACCCUGUAUUUAUUAGAUACAAAACCAAUCACGCUUGCGUGCUUCCUUGGUGAUUCAUAAUAACUAAACGAAUCGUAUGACUUUAUGUCGACGAUGAUUCAUAUAAGUUUCUGCCCUAUCAACUUUCGAUGGUAAGGUAUUGGCUUACCAUGGUUACAACGGGUGACGGAGAAUUAGGGUUCGAUUCCGGAGAGGGAGCCUGAGAAACGGCUACCACUUCUACGGAGGGCAGCAGGCGCGCAAAU